AAACAAAACGUUAGGUCCAGACAAACGCGCAAAAGUUCUUCAAAAGUUCUAGCAAUAGAGCUUACGCAACCACGAGUGCACCGGACGCAAUAUGAUGCCGUGGUACCAACAAGGGUCACACGGAUCGAAAGACACGCGCGCUGAGUAAGCAUUGAUUAUGCUUGCGAUCGUGGAAGAGCCAAAAGAAAGAAAACACCAAAAUAUUUGGAAAGCUCAGUGAACCCAACGGCAAGAGCCAACAACACAGUGCAGUUGCAUUGACCAAUUAGGAGCAAAGACAUGGACUUCAGUUACAGCAACAAGUUACUGACUUCAAGUUACAGCGAUUGUGGCAGCAUUGAAGCAACGCAUUAUUAUUCAUAAGAAUCAUAAUUGUCAGUUCAAAAUCUAAACUCAAAUAAAUAUAAUGUAAAGUGACUUAAUUUUUUUUUUUUAUAAAGAAUAGUAACCUAAUCUUUUAACUCAUGUAUAUUUUAAAAACAUAUUACUGCUACCAAUUAAUCACCAAUAAUGCCUCUCUGCGACUGCAAGCAAAACUACAAGCAAAAACCCUCAAUGAGAUUAUCAGUUUAAGAAAGAGAGUAAGAUGCUCUCUUGGGCCUGUCACAAGAAACUUUUGCGUCAAUUUUUAUUGUAUGGAAUUCGUAUUUUAUAUAUUGUAGUCAGUGAUUGAAGUGAGACGACUGCCCUAGUCACUCUAACACGUUCACAGUCAUACUUUAAACUUGUAUAUCAUCCGCCUGUUAAAGGAACCACAUAUCUUGAACCAGUCUUCAAGAUAUUCAGAAUUAUGUAAGUUAACAAUAAUUAAAUUACUAAAAUAUCAAGCCACCGGACUCCGUCGCUGGUGCAGCUCCACCGAAAAGUCUUAGCUAACUCAGGGAUUGAAUUCAGAAUUCAAAUCAGAAUUGGUUUAAGUUUGUCAGUUUAAAAAUUACAAUCAAACAAUAAACAACCAUAAAUCACAAACCCAACAUUUUAGCUAUAACCAGGCCCAACGUACUAUCCACGACCCCAACAUUUAUGGAAAAGAAGUCUUUCUAACAGAACCAACCUUCGGCGCUACCGAAGCUAACAUGACUGAUUCAACAGAAAAUCGAAGUCAGGAAGAAUACUUAGAACAAGCUGAACAGCACCCAGAAGAGUAUGACGAAGACACAGAACAAUACAAUAACACAAAACAAAAUUUGUUUAGGGUAAAGUCCUCCACACUCAUUUUUAAGAGGGGAAGACGGACGUGUGCCCAAAAAAAAGUCCAGGAAAAAACGUAUUGACAUGAACACAGAUAAAAAUCUUCACAGACCAUCAAGCUCUGACUUACUCCUUGAGUAGUUGGAAUGGAAAUCCUAGAAUAAAAAUGUGAAGAUCUCGAAGAAUA